GUCUGGCAUACUCCCUGCUCUCACUGACCCAGCAAAGGAGAGAAAACAAUAAAUAGAUACUGGUUACAAAGGUUGACAUUCUAUCAGAGAAGGAUACAAGGUACAGUGAACGCCAAGAAGGACAUGGUUAACUGCCUGAUACAGUCAGGGACAGCUUCGAAAGGGAUGCCUGAGCUGAGCCGUGAAUGAUGAACAGGAGAGGACAUUCCGGGUAGUCCAGACAUGACUGCAAAAACAGAGGAGUGUGGAACGGCAUGGCGCCUUUUGGGGAAUGGUAGAAGAGGAAGCUGAGACUUAAGAGAAUGAAAUGACUUACCCCAGGUUACACAGCUACUGGGAAAGAGAAGAAACAGAGACAGAGAGAAGUUGGGCUGGAUUUGAAUCUAGACAGUCUCACGUGCAAGCUAUCAUUUAGCCAACAAUUGAUAUUACUGUCAGGUGUUCUGUGGCAUUCACCUCCCUCCAAGAUUUCCUGACAACAUACAUCUGUAUUAUAAACAUUUUAAACCAAUAUAUAUUGAUUUGGCAUUGACAAUUGCACAUGUUUAUUCUCGGAGAUGACUAGAACGAGCUCAGGAUUGAGAACCACUGCUUUGGGCUUGAAAAGACCCUGCAGAUAAAGACAUCAAGAUGCUUUACCCUCGAGACCCCUUUGGAGGAGUCACUGUCUCCGUCGUAACUCUGCACAGUCCCUCCAGCAGCUGUUGGAUGACUUCCAUGCCCUGGAGUGUUAAAGGAGGAGAAUGGGGGAAGAAUUAGAAGAUACAGAAGGACAAGUCGAAGCAUCGUAAUUCUGAUUUUAAAAAAUCAGGACACCAUAGAAAUUCUAUUUCUGAAGAUUUAUACUCCACUUAAUGCCAUGAGGACUUUAGGUGGCUAAAAAAAAUCUUGUAAACUAAACAGGGUUAUUGGAUUGUGAAAUUGAGAGCCAUAAAAUUUAAAACAAUUUCAUAUGAAACUUCAACUUUUUUUUGAAUUUCAAAGUAAAAGAGGCAGUAUCAAGAAAAUUUGAAUUUCAAACGAAGAGGAGAGGAGCCAAAUUUCUACUUUGCUGACAACUGAAAACCCAUCAUCAGUCCAGGGUGACUCAGGUUAAACACCUGCUCUGGGGCUGAUGCCUGAACUUGCCCCUGAUUCUUGCUGUAUCAGGUUUGAGACUAAAUCAGGCAACUCCUGUCUCCUAGAUUCCUCUCAGUGUCUGCAGGAGCCCUCUUUCUUUUUUUCCUAUGGAAAGGCCGUUGUAAUGUCUCGCCCACUUUCGCCUCUUUGUGAACAUGGCACCAGAACUUUGCACUUCACACGGUCUAUAAGAUGUCAUCUUCUAAUUUUUCCCCUUUUGUGUUAAAUGUCUUUUUCCAGUUGAAAAGUAAGCUCUUUUAGUGUAAGGGCACUCUCUGAUGCCACCCUUGCUUGUUCCAUUCUCAAGUGAGCAGUAGCUUAGUGCAGUGACUAUGAUUUGAGUUUGAAUUCUGAACCUCUGUGACAUUGAACAGAUUCCUUAUCCAUUUCUUCUGUAAAAUAGGAUUAAAUAGGCAAAAAGUACUUAACCCAGUAUCCAGCAUAUAUUCAUUCCUCAAUAAACCUUACUUAGCAUUACCUUUUAUUGACUGGAAGAAAUGGCUUUAGGACUUCAUACACAGCUGAGGCACUCUAAUGGAUGAUUUCCUCAUUUUUGCCUCUCCAAGUUCCGAGUCCUCCCUUUUCAAGAUUAGAAGCUGAACGCUUCUUCUAUCCCCU
rnacentral:lncRNA from 1 species